rnacentral:rRNA from 1 species
GCCGUAACUAUAACGGUCCUAAGGUAGCGAAAUUCCUUGUCGGGUAAGUUCCGACCUGCACGAAUGGCGUAACGACUUCCCCGCUGUCUCCAACAUAGACUCAGUGAAAUUGAAUUGCCUGUCAAGAUGCAGGCUUCCCGCGGUUAGACGGAAAGACCCCGUGCACCUUUACUACAACUUUACACUGAUAACAGGCACAAUAUGUGCAGAAUAGGUGGUAGGCUUUGAAGCAGGGACGCCAGUCCUUGUGGAGCCUCCUUUGAGAUACCACCCUUAUUUUUCUUGUUAUCUAACUGCGGUCCGUUAUCCGGAUCCAGGACCCUGUAUGGUGGGUAGUUUGACUGGGGCGGUCGCCUCCUAAAGCGUAACGGAGGCGCGCGAAGGUUGGCUCAGAGCGGUCGGAAAUCGCUCGUUGAGUGCAAUGGCAGAAGCCAGCCUGACUGCGAGACUGACAAGUCGAGCAGAGUCGAAAGACGGCCAUAGUGAUCCGGUGGUCCCGAGUGGAAGGGCCAUCGCUCAACGGAUAAAAGGUACGCCGGGGAUAACAGGCUGAUGGUGCCCAAGAGUCCAUAUCGACGGCACCGUUUGGCACCUCGAUGUCGGCUCAUCUCAUCCUGGGGCUGGAGCAGGUCCCAAGGGUACGGCUGUUCGCCGUUUAAAGAGGUACGUGAGCUGGGUUUAGAACGUCGUGAGACAGUUCGGUCCCUAUCUGCCGUGGGUGUAGGAUACUUGAGAGGAGUUGCCCCUAGUACGAGAGGACCGGGGUGAACGAUCCACUGGUGGACCUGUUGUUGCGCCAGCAGCAGUGCAGGGUAGCUAUGAUCGGACAGGAUAACCGCUGAAGGCAUCUAAGCGGGAAGCCCCCCUCAAAACAAGGUAUCCCUGAGGGCCGUGGUAGACCACCACGUCGAUAGGCCGGAGAUGUAAGUGCAGCAAUGUGCUCAGUUGACCGGUACUAAUUGCCCGAUAGGCUUGAUUUG